ACCACGUUAACACACACACAUUUGCCGUCUGUCAAGACAUUUUAGACCUUAUUUCUAUCCACUAAAACUCUAAACCCAAGAACCGAAAUGCAGGCAAGUUGUUUUACUACGAAGCCAAACUCCCCGCUGCGCAUGCGCAUCUAACUUCAGUCUGGUACAAACAGUAUCGCGAUAAGGUCGUGUUCGUUAUAAAUUAUCGUAAUAUUUAAAAAAAUACGUUAAAUUUGCAAACUAUUAUGUAUAACGAGUGUUAUAUUUACAUAAAAACGUUACUGUGAGUGCUAGUGGCAGUUAGGUGUGUCGAAAGUGCUGUAAACAAUGGAAGACGUGUUCACCAUAAAAGUAAAAACAAAGCCGGACAAACGGAAUGUUUAUCCAUCAGAGAGGCGGUAUUCCGCGUCCACAGUGUCGGGGCUGGCCUGGGUCCACAUCGCCCUCGCCGCCACAUCGUUCCUACUCGCCUGUCUUGCGAUAGUUAGCCCGAAUGAACCAAAAAACAAUGAUAGAAAUACCACAGAGUACUUCGAGACGGAAACAGAGAACAGCACGGCUGUAUACAAUAACGAUUACGUUUUGAUAUUGGCGCCGAGUUUGAUAACCGCUUUUGGUCUGGCGGCGGGCGUUGCGAGCAUAAUGGCAUCUGUUAAAUGGUACAUAGACCACAACAUCACGUGGUUGUUCGUUAUUUCAACUUUUCAACAAUCAUAUCGUUCGCUUCGUUCAUGAUGAUCGCUAUCUGGUUUGUGACGACGUCAGAGGGCGAUAUAUCAGAUUUUUAUAAGGACAAAGUCCUUUCAAGGAUUAUAUGGUGGUGAAACAUACCGAUGUGUUGGAGAGAAACGAAUUCUCACAUGAUAAUAUCAUUAAAUACGACGAAAGAAGAGCCUCAAGACUCGCAUUUGUUUACUAAGCACGUGCUGUCGAUAAAUAUCAUGAUUGCCGCGUUCUUGGAGCUGCUCUGGUCCAUUCUUAGCGUUAAAAUAUCAUACAAGGGCAUGAAGAAUGACUACAGAGAAGACAAUAACGACCGAAGAGGCAACUGCGUGUCUGUAGUGACGAAAAUAAAAGGGAAUAAUACGAAAAAACUGCCGCGAAAUAGUAAAUUACUGCCGCCGAAACCUGAUUUGAUCGAACAUUAUCCUAGUAAGAAGAUAAAGAGGAUAUUCUUGGCUCAGGGGGACAGUGGCUUCUAUCUUAAAGGUCAGACUAACAAAGCAAAACAAAACACGGAGACCAGCUCCGAGUUUUACAAAAGAGAAGGAGAUGAUGAAUUUCUUGAACAGAUGCGCGUCCUUUGACGGAAUGUCCAAUCCGGAGAUGAGAACGCCGAGUGUGCAGUCAGAAUCAGCUCUAAACCCGAUACCAGAAGUGGCCAGUGUUGAAAUAAACAUGGAGAACCCAGAGCCCAAGGACAGGAUGACGCCGGUGAGCUGGGGCGACACACCUAUCACACGAUAUACAACCAAAACACGUUGAAUUUAGAAAACAUAUUCGUUUUAAAAAUGCUGAAAAGAAAAGCGAAGAUAUCGGUGAAAUUAAAGAGUGAUUAAUUGCCCGUGAAGGCGGUUUCGCUAAGCGGAUUCACACAAUGUUGAUAAUGUAACUAACUGGCGUACAUUAGUUUUUUAUUGGUGUAAAGACAAUAAGGCUAUUCUGCCAUUGUUGAGUAUAAAAUGUUGAAUCAGCAGCGUUCAUUAGGAAUGGGAAGUGUCCAUUCGUCGUGGCGGUAAAAACUUGUCUAAUCACAAAUUUAUACCUAAAUAUGUUAAUUAAGUCUUUUUAUGCACAAAAUGUGUGUUAUUUAUUUAUGUUCAGUUGUUUAUGGACAUACAGGCGUGUCCACUUGUAGAGUACAAUCUAACAACAAUGAUCUCCUUAUGUAUGAAAUAGAACAAUUGUGGACAGUGGACGCAUAUUCACACAUUAACUUGUGUGAGAUCUGUAAGUGUUCGACUUAUUUUGAGUUUAUAAAAACAAUUUAAUAUUCCACGACCACGAUUCUUUUCAAAACUCACAACUUAAUAAUUUUAAAAGAGUAUUUAUCGAAACACCUACCGCUUUUCAAAAAAUAUCCAUGCAAACAAAUUACUCUACAUUUAUUUGACUCUGAUUUAGCAAACCGACUUACCUUACUGAUAAUAUUUAUUUACAUUAGAUAUUAAUAUACCUGGUGGCUAUGUUUUUGCCAUAAAUAGUGGCAGAAUUAUAAUCGAAAAGCCACUGCAUAGAAGCCAGAACACUGCUUGUUCUUAGAUCAUUUUAUUAUUUUUCUGGGAUAGAUAAAGUCUUCAAACGUUUAGCAACAAAAAUCUACGUCAAUAAAUUCCGUUAUAACUAAAUAUCUUUGAAGUUAAUGUGUUGCGUACGUAAUAUAUUACAAUCGACGCAAAUUAAAAUAAACUCUUACACAUGACCCCUUAAAUAGAAUUUUAUCUACGUCUUACGACUUAUUAUCUUAGGUCGUGUAAUUAGAAAGACAGACGGAACACCCAAUUAUUUAAAUAUCACUGCCGUUUAUAAAUAGAAUAUGCAACGACGUAAUAGUUACUUGAUUCUUCUUUGGACUUCUCCUGCAUCAACAAUUUAAAUGUUUAUUGAUUAUUUUUUUAAGCAUUUUUGAUGCUAACGGUUAUCGAUUGAAUGUGGAGUAUAGAAUUAUGCAAAUUUAUGCGAUUUCAGUUUGAAAGUGAAAUGUAUUCAUGUACGCAAAGUUACAUAAAUAUUUUCACGUCUACAUACAUAAUUAUGAUUGAACAAACUGUCCGAAUGAUUUUUUGCCAACUCUGAAUUGAUGUUCGCAAUCCACAGCCCUUGAAGUGUUCAAAUAAAAACUGGGAACUGGUUUAAGGUCAGGCCGAGUGUAGGCCAAAGGCAACGCGUUAGGUCGGAGAAAGAUUUUAACAAGGUCAUAUUAGCCCUGUGAUAAACAUUGUUUCAUUGUUCAGUCUUUAUUAAUAACUAAAUGUUUCUCGCAGUUUCUCCUGCUUGAAGUAUUUCCCGACACAAAAGUCCCUAAAACACUGUGAUCUGUGGUCAUUUGUAGGAUGCUAAGAUUUAUUAAAAAGAAAAUCCUACGGGAACUCAAGAUCAGGAUAAAAGUAGCAUAUAUACGCUAUACCACCAUGUCUACCUAUGCAUAAAAUUUGAUCCAAAUCAGUGUCUUGUCCGUUACUUCUAACAAACAUCUAAACGUUUUGGCCAACUUUAGAAUGUAUAACAUUCGUAACAAAAGUUUAGGUCUUUCGUCUCACGUCGAGUUGUUGCUUUUCAGUAGACUACAUAUUCGAAAUUAUAGAGCUACUGAGGCGUGUUUCACGCAGCCUCCUUCACCUUUAAAGCGAGCGAUAAUUAACAAUUAAGGUCACUAUUGCUAUGUAUUUUUUACCACUGAUGAAAAUUAUAUAAUUGACCAAAUUUUUUUUUAUAAGUUUAUUUGCAAAUAGUACUGUACACAGUUUUGUCCCCAGAAAGAAGCAACAGCCUCGAUGCACUGGGUACCAACAAUCUCAUAGAAUAGACUGUAUCAUGUAGCCUGUUGGUGAUGAUGAUCACGUACAAUCUAAUAACCAGCUUAUUAAUUUUGUCCGUUCCAUAAAUAAUACAAUAAAUGUUCACAGUAACUUGCAAUCGUAAAUGCCGUAUCAAGUGUCGACUAUUGUGUGGUGUUUUAUAGGCAAAGUUAUAACUAGUUAUCGGGCUUCUAAUGGAUCUUUUAAUUAGAUAUUUUCAUUAAUAGUUUUACUCAUUUUAAGAUAUACUCUACCUUUAUCAGCCAUAUUUGAAAAUGAUUUUUUUGUGAUUUGACUGUCUCGGUGGCGUAGUAGCGUACUGCAUGGGGUACGGCAGCGUCCUGGAUUCGAAUCCCGGGUCGGGCAAAGUGAUGUUUGGGUUUUUCUGCUCAGUAUCAACCCAGAGUUUGGAAUUUGUGCCCGAUGGCGAUAGGCUCGCCCCCUAUCACAUCAUGGGACGGAACAUACUUGGCGAAUAGUGGGAACUUUGGUUGCGCCGUAGCAUACUCCUUCGGGUAUAAAUGCGUGAUGAUGUGUGUGUGUGUGUGUGUUUUUAUGAUUUGUUUAGGCAGCUUUUAGUGGUUUUGUUAGUAAUUCAAGAGAUUUUGUGUGGCUGCGUCUCUUUCCAAAUGCCCUUGUGUCUGCAAGUUACUCAUAUUACUGACCGAGUUAACAGUUUAAAUCAGCGAAUGACACGCGAUAUCUUUAACCGCACGUGCAAAUCAGGCGGGGAUUUAGGCUUGAACCAUUGACGUUUACGUAGUGCAUACAUAUAUAUCGAUGGUUUGAACGAUAAGGCAGCUGAAAUACCUGAAUAAUUACUAAAUUAAGGAGAAAAAUAUUCAUGUUGGUAUCUUAAGAUUUCUUUCAUUUCGUUUAUAUUGUUAAUGACUGCAACGUAUGGAAUGAAUACAGCACUAAAUAUUGUAAAGAAUUCUCAUUUUUUUCGUCUGUUUGACUUAACGCGUUAAUAUAUUGCCCUACGCGGUCAUAUACCAUGCACACCCAAUGUUAUGUAUUUGAGAUUAUGCGCUCGUAGAGAUACAGAGUCCAAUAUAUUUAUAAGUCACAAAAAUAUACUCAUUUAUUGUCCGGCUGUCAAAAAUUUAUAAAAAUAGACCAUAUUUCAUGCGUAUUAAAGUCGCCUUCAAAGGGCUGCCUGCAGCUGCUUAGCAGUUGACAGGUAAGUGAUGGGUUAAGGCAUCAAUGAGUCUUUGGUUAUUGUUGUGGGAAGCGACCACUUACGAUCAAAUAAACGCUUUGUUUUGUCUCUUAAUAUUAUAGUAGAACAGUAGACAUGUUCUACCGUAACACCAGUCCUCAAAGAUACGGACGAACUAUCAAUUGUAUUAUACGAAUCGUUUGUAAUAUACGAAGUAUUUUAUAUUUAAAAUAUAUCAGAAUAAAGUUAGUUGAUUCCGCACUCAGCAGAUGUGCUGGAAACCAACUAUGGUUAAAAAGUUAACAAUUAGAGCCUAAACCAAUAAACAUUUUACUAAACCUAUACAAUGAAUUUAAUCAAUGUUUUUUGCCUUUGAAUCUUAUUGGAAACAUGUCACAAAACAUGGUUAUUGUUUUUUUUUAAUAAUUACUGCGGUUCCUUUCGCGUUUUAUUGAGUGAAUGUUAUUGAACAUUACUUACUCAUUUCAUUUUCUGUCGUAUAGUUUAUUGGUUAAGGUACUUUUUGUUAAUUUAUGAUGGAUCCGACCCUGUCCAAUAAUGAUAUGAUAUUAGAUUAAGACUGAAUAUUUUGUAUUUUUAUACAUUAAAAUAUUAUUUAAA